CAGGAUCUGAUGAUAUUGGAGAGUGGCCGCUUCCUGCCACCCCCAGUGGGAGGGAUUCACACAGCAACAGUGAGAGGCUUAAACUGGAUUUGUCAAACAUACAUAAAAAUCCAGAGGCUAAUGGUGGGCUUGUGAGAAGGGAAAAAAUUGCUUUCUUCGAUAAGGAGUGUUCAAAGGUGGCCGAACACAUAUAUCUUGGUGG
rnacentral:misc_RNA from 1 species